rnacentral:rRNA from 1 species
ACUUUUCGUUGUAGCAAUACGAUGGAAAGUUUAGUGGCGAACGGGUGCUUAACACGUGGGCAACCUGCCAUGAAGUGGGGGAUAGCUCGCCGAAAGGCGAAUUAAUACCGCAUGUGAUUAGAGAGGACAUCCUUUCAAAAUUAAAGUCGGGGCAACCUGACGCUUCUUGUGGGGCCCGCGGCCUAUCAGCUAGUUGGUGAGGUAACGGCUCACCAAGGCUUUGACGGGUAGCUGGUCUGAGAGGACGACCAGCCACACUGGGACUGAGACACGGCCCAGACACCUACGGGUGGCAGCAGUCGAGAAUUUUUGACAAUGGGGGAAACCCUGAUCGAGCGACGCCGCGUGGAGGAUGAAGGUCUUCGGAUUGUAAACUCCUGUCAUUUGGGAACAAGGUGCACACGUUAACUGCGUGAGUAUUGAUAGUACCAGAAGAGGAAGAGACGGCUAACUCUGUGCCAGCAGCCGCGGUAAUACAGAGGUCUCAAGCGUUGUUCGGAUUCAUUGGGCGUAAAGGGUGCGUAGGCGGCGCGGUAAGUCGGGUGUGAAAUCUCGGAGCUUAACUCCGAAACUGCAUUCGAUACUGCCGUGCUUGAGGACUGGAGAGGAGACUGGAAUUUACGGUGUAGCGGUGAAAUGCGUAGAUAUCGUAAGGAAGACCAGUGGCGAAGGCGGGUCUCUGGACAGUUCCUGACGCUGAGGCACGAAGGUCAGGGGAGCAAACGGGAUUAGAUACCCCGGUAGUCCUGACAGUAAACGGUGCACGUUUGGUGUGGGAGGAUUCGACCCCUUCUGCG